rnacentral:rRNA from 1 species
UACGGGGGGGGCAAGCGUUGUUCGGAAUUACUGGGCGUAAAGGGCUCGUAGGUGGCCAACUAAGUCAGACGUGAAAUCCCCAGGCUCAACUUGGGAACUGCGUCUGAUACUGGAGGGCUUGAGUGCGGGAGAGGGAUGUGGAAUUCCAGGUGUAGCGGUGAAAUGCGUAGAUAUCUGGAGGAACACCGGUGGCGAAGGCGGCAUCCUGGACCGACACUGACGCUGAGGCGCGAAAGCUAGGGUAGCAAACGGG